GACGAAGGAUGCAAGCGUUAUCCGGAUUCAUUGGGUUUAAAGGGAGCGUAGGUGGCCUUAUAAGUCAGUGGUGAAAUCUCUGGGCUUAACCCAGAAAUUGCCAUUGAUACUGUAGGGCUUGAGUAUAGUUGCCGUUGGCGGAAUAUGACAUGUAGUGGUGAAAUACAUAGAGAUGUCAUAGAACACCAAUUGCGAAGGCAGCUUACUACACAAUGAUUGACGCUGAGGCACGAAAGCGUGGGGAUCAAACAGG
rnacentral:rRNA from 1 species